rnacentral:rRNA from 1 species
UGGGGAAUUUUCCGCAAUGGGCGAAAGCCUGACGGAGCAAGACCGCGUGGGGGAAGAAGGCUCUUGGGUUGUAAACCCCUUUUCUCUGGGAAGAAAGUUGUGAAAGCAACCUGACGGUACCAGAGGAAUCAGCAUCGGCUAACUCCGUGCCAGCAGCCGCGGUAAGACGGAGGAUGCAAGCGUUAUCCGGAAUGAUUGGGCGUAAAGCGUCCGCAGGUGGCAGUUCAAGUCUGCUGUCAAAGACCGGGGCUUAACUUCGGAAAGGCAGUGGAAACUGAACAGCUAGAGUAUGGUAGGGGCAGAGGGAAUUCCUGGUGUAGCGGUGAAAUGCGUAGAGAUCGGGAAGAACAUCGGUGGCGAAGGCGCUCUGCUGGACCAUAACUGACACUCAGGGACGAAAGCUAGGGGAGCGAAUGGGAUUAGAUACCCCAGUAGUC